GCCGUCGUAGCUCAGUUGGCAGAGCGCGCGCAUGGUAAGCGCGAGGUCGCCGGUUCGAUCCCGGCCGAUGGCU
rnacentral:tRNA from 1 species